GACGUAGGGCGCGAGCGUUGUCCGGAUUUAUUGGGCGUAAAGAGCUCGUAGGCGGCUUGUCGCGUCGACCGUGAAAACUUGGGGCUCAACCCUAAGCCUGCGGUCGAUACGGGCAGGCUCGAGUUCGGUAGGGGAGACUGGAAUUCCUGGUGUAGCGGUGAAAUGCGCAGAUAUCAGGAGGAACACCGGUGGCGAAGGCGGGUCUCUGGGCCGAUACUGACGCUGAGGAGCGAAAGCCAGGGGAGCGAACGGG
rnacentral:rRNA from 1 species